CCUACGGGAGGCAGCAGUGAGGAAUAUUGGUCAAUGGACGCAAGUCUGAACCAGCCAUGCCGCGUGCAGGAAGACGGCUCUGUGAGUUGUAAACUGCUUUUGUCAGGGGACAAACGCAGAUACGCGUACCCGUCUGAAAGUAUCUUAAGAAUAAGGAUCGGCUAACUCCGUGCCAGCAGCCGCGGUAAUACGGAGGAUUCAAGCGUUAUCCGGAUUUAUUGGGUUUAAAGGGUGCGUAGGCGGUCGGAUAAGUUAGAGGUGAAAUCCCGGGGCUCAACUUCGGAAUUGCCUUUGAUACUGGUCGGCUAGAGAGUAGUUGCGGUAGGCGGAAUGUAUGGUGUAGCGGUGAAAUGCUUAGAGAUCAUACAGAACACCGAUUGCGAAGGCAGCUUACCAAGCUACUUCUGACGUUGAGGCACGAAAGCGUGGGGAGCAAACAGGAUUAGAUACCCGGGUAGUC
rnacentral:rRNA from 1 species